GUUUACCCGUGGCUCCUUCUCUUGUUGGAUUUUUUGGAAAUAAAACUGUGAUUGUUUUUUAUCUUACAACUUUUUCAUGACCGAAUCGAGCGGCUUUGGAGGGAUGUGUGGACCGCAGUAACAAGCACAUACUAUGAUGUGCUGCACAGUCUCGAAGAACAGGGACUGCUAGACAUCUCAAACACGUUGCACAUCUUCCUGGUGCAUUUUGUGUUCCUACCUCGUCUACGCAGUGACCUUCAAACCUUCUCUGAGGGCUGGAACCAUCACCCACUCCGCACAGAAGGAAACAUGACCCCUCAGCAGUUGUGGCAAAUGGGGCUGCUGCAAAACAGCACAGCCGAGGUUGAUAAUGUUGAGGAUCUGCAAGAACUUGACAUUGACUGGGAGAGUGCCCUUCACAGUCAUGAGCACCUUCCAGAAUGUGGGGUUGUGGUCCCAGAUUUCCCCUCACCUCUAAGUGACCAAGAUGUGGCAGACCUUCAAACUGCUGUGGACCCUACAGCAUCAUCUGACAACCAUGGUCGAGACAUUUACUACCACUGUCUUCAGAUGUUUCAGUGAACGGUCAUUUUAUGUUAAUUAGAGGCCUCUAUAGUGCAAAUAGUGUUAAGUUUGGGGAUCAAGAAUGCACACACACUAUAUACUGUAUAUAUAAUUGCUAUAAAUCAAUCUUAAUGUUCUGUUAAUGUUCAUAUCACUGUUUAUUGUGUACUGUCUGAAUAUUUUGACAAAUUGUAUUUUUAUGCUUUGGCAACGUUGUUAAAGUUAGUUUCAUGCCAAU